UACGUAGGGUGCAAGCGUUGUCCGGAAUUAUUGGGCGUAAAGAGCUCGUAGGCGGUCUGUCGCGUCGGCUGUGAAAACCCGGGGCUCAACCCCGGGCCUGCAGUCGAUACGGGCAGACUAGAGUGCGGUAGGGGAGACUGGAAUUCCUGGUGUAGCGGUGGAAUGCGCAGAUAUCAGGAGGAACACCUGUGGCGAAAGCGGCUCACUGGACCACAACUGACGCUGAGGCGCGAAAGCUAGGGGAGCAAACAGG
rnacentral:rRNA from 1 species